ACCUCACUGGCCUGUAUUCUAAGAGCUCUUUCAAAAGCUUAUCAAAAUGUCUUUAGAAGCCCACCUCUCCCAAAAACCCAUGAGGGACCUCUGGCUUUUCUGAACAUCUAGCCCAAGCCACAAGGCUGGUGUGCUUUGGGAAAAACCUGUCCUGAAUGAGUUAAAUUGCCUUUUUACUUAUUAAGUGACCGUGCACCGUCUAUUUGUCUAACUCCUCUGGGAUACGGGCAGAGGCCACGCUCCAGCCUGCUGCCAAAGCGGAGGUCGGGCAGCGUAGCACGGCCCAGGAGCCUGCGCCUAGUGCAGCCGGUGGGAUCUGGACCUUCAGGCUGGAAGGCUGUCAGCAACUUUUGGAUGGAGGAGAACAUUUCUGGCCCUUCCCGUGAGGAAAUGGCAUGUGUCCGACCUCCGAUGUGGGGCUCCAAUCUUUCCUGUUUGGCUCAUGAUCAAGGGCAAGCGACAAAAGGGAAGAGAAGAAGAAGGAAAACAGCUUUCAGCCUUUGAAGAGGUCACAGCUUUGCAGCCAAGAAGGAGGUGGGAUGGGGAUGAACUGGAGAAUGAGGAUGGAUAUUUGAUCAACUUCCAUGCACGACUGACAUAAGGCAUGAAGGAGCCAUGAGGGCAGACACAACUACUGCCUUUUCGUAGUGAACCCCUUGAUCCCGCUGACAGCUCUCAGUGGGAACCUUUGUCUGGGCUUCUCGCCAAAGGAGGAGGGAAUCGACAGUUCUGAUGCUCUUACAAUCAGCCAGAUUUUUGCCUGCAACCAUCUUGGGUAGUGACAGUCUUUGAACUUCAAGGGAAAGUGGCUUUUCCAGCAAUGACAUUGUAUUUCUCAGCCAAGGCCAUGGUUGCAGUAUAAUGAAAGCAGGGCAUAUUAUCAUCUGGAGCACACAUGCAACACAUGUUGUAUUUUUAGCCUGGGAAACCAUUCUCUGAAAGGAUUCCACCAAAACCUCCGAGUUCUUCGCCUCUCUACUAGCAAGACGUCUCCUGCCUCCACACUGAACUGCAACGUGUGCCUCAGAAUAAAUGACAGGUUCUUUAUCAAAUGGUCCCUGGUACCCAGAGUAGUUUACAUUUAAAGUCUUUAUUUGACUGAUUAUUCAGUUGUGAACCUUUCCUAUGGUAGCACCUGAUUCAUAAACCACAGGGAUCCAGGAAAAAAGCAACAGCCUCGGAGGUGCUGCUGAAGCCAGCUUGGUUCUCUGCACAGGGGUUACCUGCUCCUGUUUUCCAAGAGAUCAAAGUUUCCAAGUUAACCUUUGCACCGUGAGAGAUGGCCUGGUAGCAGCUGGCUGUUUUUAAAGUUGCUCGUUGGUGGAUGAGGUGUGCUUGUGUUCCCAGGUGGAAAAUGGGGUCAACCUUGGAUGCCACAGGAAGGGGAAGCUACAAAAUCUGAUUUAAGGGGCUGCGGGAGCCAGCCUUGUCACACUAACACGAGUGCGCUGUGUUAUCAAACGCUUUUGCAGCCAGUGCUGGAACGGACGUUAUACUGCUAGACUUAAAGCUUAUGCAAAGUCAUUAAGUCCCUUUAGUUACACGGGAUAUCAACCUGCAUGCUUCAGGGCAUGAGCUGAUUGCCUUCAGGGGUCAGCGAGGAAUGCUUCCCUCUCUGAGAGCACAGUGCACAAUUAGCUGGGGGCACUCCCAAGGCUUUGUUGCUUUCCUGCUGCAUCAGGCAAAUUUAGGCAAGCGCUGCAAAAGGGCAUUACACCUGAUGGGCCAGCAACUGAGAUGGGCUUGACAGAAUUCUCAUCUCUCUGCAGCGAUCCGUUGGCAACAGAGCGUAAAGCCCUCACAGGAGUGGCGCAGCAAUGGCUGGAUGGUGAGGGGAGCAGAAUGCAGGAGUAGAUCCGUUGGUGGGGUGGAAAAAGGUGUCAGACAGAGUUGACUUUGGAACACCGUAAACGGUUUCCUGUCUGUUGUGGGCCAGCUAGGAGACAGGCACGGACGAUAAGUUUUCUUUGCAAUUGUUUGAUCCUAAUGUGAUACUUCCCUUUCUGCUACUAAGUGCACUUGGUUAUUGGACUGGGCAUGGCUAGUGACUUCAAACCACAUGAGGAAGAAAAGCCUGAUAUGAACAUCUGGUUAUUUAAAAACCAUCUUUUUUUUUUUUUUCCCUUCAAGCAUGUGCUGAAGCACUUUAGAGCACUGUUAGAUGGGCGCUGCAGCCUGGUCUACGAGCAGCUCCAUCACCAUAGUGUUGUGGGACCUAAACUGGUCUCGUCCCCUUGUGGAUUUCUCUAGUCCAACUCAGCACAACAUUAAGCAUGCCUUUUAAAUCUCUGUGUAUUUCAGAAAAGUUGCUUCAACACACAACCAAGUCAGGGAGGAUAGGCAGCUGAAUUGCUGUGUCCGAAUGCCAAUACAACCUGCUGCAGCAGAGCGCUUUGGAUUUCUUUUUGCCAAAGUAAGGAAUACUUAACAGUGCAACACCUUAUGGCAGGCACAUUUCUACCACAGUAUCUUGCAGAGCAAAAAGCGUAUUGAUCUCUCUAAAAGUUCCUGUUCAUACAACACUGAGGUCUGUAUCAGUGCGGACCUGCUGUAAUUAAAAGAAAAAACAAAUCCCAACCUGAGACGACCUGUCAUGUCUGAAGACAAUGCACCGAAGUGCAUCAAGCUGCAAAAUAAAGGAACACAUUUUGUUCUCCCUUGCACCCAUCAUGCAGCUUCCUGCCUUUUAUGGAAAUAGUUUGGAUUCAUGCAGGUGAAAUCAGUUUCUCUUCAGGUAAUAUGGAAGAACUAAAUGGCAAUUGUUGCCUUAUGGUCCUGCUCCAAACGCACCGGAUCCAUGAAUGUCCGAGUGCUUUCCUGUUCUAUUUUGACUGACUCAAUACGAGCUACUGCCUAAAUUUACAUUUGACUUCUGCUAUAUUUCACCAAUAACAUUUAGAGCUACUUCUAAAAACUCCAAAAACCAGAUCUGAAUAAAAACGAUGAAGGUAGAUCAUUUUGAGAAAGGAUGGAAAGGGGAAUUUAAGGGUGUUUUCCACGGUUUCAGCAAAGUGCAAAAUCUAUUCUUUUUUCAUUCAAACUACUUCAGUGUAACUUUUCCUUUGGAACAAAUCAUUAAGGCAAAAAAGUCCUCACAUAACAUGUUUGUCAUGCAAUGGUCACGUCAUGGCGACUCAUUCCCCUCGUUUUUUUUUUCUGGGAUCCAUGCCAAGUGCUAAGCCAGAAAACCUUGUUAUAUUAAUUAUGAAGAAAAAACAUGUUUUAUUAAAAACUAGCCUGCUGAAUA